UACGUAGGGGGCUGGCGUUGUCCGGAAUCAUUGGGCGUAAAGAGCGUGUAGGCGGUCCGGUAAGUCCGCUGUGAAGGUCGGGGGCUCAACCCUCGAAUGCCGGUGGAUACUGUCGGGCUAGAGUGCGGAAGAGGCGAGUGGAAUUCCUGGUGUAGCGGUGAAAUGCGCAGAUAUCAGGAGGAACACCUAUUGCGAAGGCAGCUCGCUGGGACGUAACUGACGCUGAGACGCGAAAGCGUGGGGAGCAAACAGG
rnacentral:rRNA from 1 species